rnacentral:rRNA from 1 species
GAACGAACGCUGGCGGCAUGCCUAACACAUGCAAGUCGAACGAGACCUUCGGGUCUAGUGGCGCACGGGUGCGUAACGCGUGGGAACCUGCCCUUAGGUUCGGAAUAACUCCCCGAAAGGGGUGCUAAUACCGGACAAUGUCUUCGGACCAAAGAUUUAUCGCCUUUGGAUGGGCCCGCGUUGGAUUAGCUAGUUGGUAGGGUAAAAGCCUACCAAGGCGACGAUCCAUAGCUGGUCUGAGAGGAUGAUCAGCCACACUGGGACUGAGACACGGCCCAGACUCCUACGGGAGGCAGCAGUGGGGAAUAUUGGACAAUGGGCGAAAGCCUGAUCCAGCAAUGCCGCGUGAGUGAUGAAGGCCUUAGGGUUGUAAAGCUCUUUUACCCGGGAUGAUAAUGACAGUACCGGGAGAAUAAGCUCCGGCUAACUCCGU